GGCUCUAUGGCUUAGCUGGUUAAAGGGCCUGCCUAGUAAGCAGGAGAUCCUGGGUUCAAGGCCCAGCGGGGCCC